CAGACACAUAGACAUAUAAGCAGUAGAUUGUGUCCUUCCAGAGGAGGAAAUCUACUUCUAGACUUCUAGAAUCAGCAUCUCCUCAUCCAUGGUGUCAUCGGGGUGAAAUGACGUCUAAAAACCUUUCACUUGUUCGUCUCCGCCCGUUUGCAUGGUGUGAAAUACGAUCCUCCUGAAACACGGAGUGUUUUAUUUUGAAAAGAAGCCGGAUGUUUUAUUUUGUGUCUGUGCCCGACUUCCUUUCCAGCACGGGUUAAUCUGUGCUGAAUUUAUCCGCCAUGCUCCGGCGUCCAGAAAAAAUAGAACUCUUGUGAUCAGCUGAGGAGUCCGGCGAUCCGCAGAGGAACGGAAAGAAGUCGGUGUAAAUUGACACGUUAACUUGAAUGGUUACGAUCAGCUACGAUCGGAGGAUACGACCUUUUAGGAGACGAUCAGGAUGAAGGUGGAAAUUGGGGGAAUAUCCCUUUAAUGAGUGGAACAGCUCCAGGUUUCAGAACCAGCUGAGACCCAGAUCCAGCUGGUACUGGUCUUGGUUUCCGAAGAAGUCCUCAGUGGCGUGGCGAGCGCUAACAGCUACG